AGAGUUGAUGCAUCAUGGAAAAAUUGAGUGCAAAUGAAAACUUCCCAUCAUACAGGAUUUCAAAGAUGAGGACAACUGAGAUUCACAGAGGUUAAGUAACUUGCCCAGGGUUGCAGAGCUCCAAAAUGUUGGAAGAAAGAUAAACUCCAGCGCUCUUAGGCCUCAGCCUUCUGUGGGCAGUUUUUCAAAUGGACUGUAACAGAAGCUUCUCUGUUUGCAUUGGGAGUCAUCUCAGGUUUACAUUCAGAAAACGGAAUAAAAAUGUGGGCAGCAAACAACUGAGCUAAAGCAGAGGAAUGAAAAGAAGUUGUUUGACGAGGAUUUGCAGAACAAUGGCACAGAGCGUCCUUGCAGGAGGACUUGGAGGUUUCUUGGGAAAGUGGGCGUUUGUGUCUGUUCACCCCAGUCGUCAUUCCCAAGGAUUCUGAGGACCCCUCAUCCCUCAAGAAAACUACAUACAUAAGGCAGAGGAUCCUUCCACACUGGCCUCACUUAGAUUGGGAUGCAUUUCUAGUCAGUUCUUCUUUUCUGACUUUAUGUGCUGUUUGAAGUUAUUUAAACCAAACCCAAACAGACCAAAAAAAUUUCCAUAGAAGUUGUUGGCUCCUGGAGCUUACCCCGUAAUAUUUAUUCUGCUAAUCUCUGGACAGAAAAAUGCCCUGCAUUUGUUAACUAUACAUUUUUCCAAACGCCAAAAGGAAGUUUUUACUUUUCCCCCUAAUAUUUCUCCAUAGUAUUAAGUUAGCUUGAGUAAGUAUUGUCAAAUGAACAAAUAA